CCUUCAGGAUCUUUUAUUAACGUAUAGAAAAUGUGUUUAAAAAAGGAACUAUACAGAGGCUAAAAGCAACUGGGACUAAAAAUACUAGUUAACAAUGGUUAACAAGCAGAUUCCAGUCUUUGAGCUACAGCGCCAUGAAAGGAUGGGGCAAAGUGGCUCUCCCUCUUCAUUCCUCUAUAGCCUUUUGUUUGAUUUCAUCAGAGUGAGCACCACCUGAUGAGUAUAUACCAUAUGCCCCUUCGCUUCUUCUUCCUUUUGGCUUUUUUUUUUUAAAGGCCUUUUCAAGAACAGUGUAGCUACAAAGUCAGUAAAUUCAUUUGUCUUUUGUUCUCAGGAGAGAUGAGAGAGUUUAGGUGUGAAAGAAGCAAAAGCUUAGAGGGAAGCAGUAAGUCAAAGAACUUCAGAAAUUUACUCUGAGGGCCCA
rnacentral:lncRNA from 1 species